AUACGGAGGGGACAAGCGUUAUUCGGAAUCAUUGGGUUUAAAGGGUCCGCAGGCGGUCAAUUAAGUCAGAGGUGAAAGCCCGUCGCUCAACGAUGGAACUGCCUUUGAUACUGGUUGACUUGAGUUAUACGGAAGUAGAUAGAAUAAGUAGUGUAGCGGUGAAAUGCAUAGAUAUUACUUAGAAUACCGAUUGCGAAGGCAGUCUACUACGUAUAUACUGACGCUGAGGGACGAAAGCGUGGGGAGCGAACAGGAUUAGAAACCCUUGUAGUCC
rnacentral:rRNA from 1 species